UCCAUUUCUUUCUUAUACGCUAAUUCACUAUUAAAUAGAAAUGUAUAUGCAAAACAGCGAGAAAUUUGUAGAUACGUUGAAUGUUGUUGCUUUCACAUUUGCAACUCUUAGUAGUUGUUCAAAACAACAAUGUCGAGCAAAGAUGUUUGCGAUGUUUGAAUGAUUCUUGGAUUGUAUUUGGAUUCCAUCGGUACUAUGGCCUGUUGAUUCGGCACCUUUGUCAUUUUAGCAACUUUUGUUUUCUUUUCUGUGUCGAUGUAGUUCUCUAUACCAUAUUCAUGUUCAUAUCAAUGUCCAUAUCAAGGUCCAUAUCAAUGUCCAUAUCAAUUUCCCAUGUUCCAUUACAUAUCCCGUGUUCUUUCCUUCUUCCAGCUUUUACAUGCUAGCCUUUUAUACAAUGAUUCCUCUCAUCUCGACUCGUUUGAUGAAUGGGCGUUUAGUUUUUGCAACAACAUAUGCGUUGGGUUAUCUCANAUCGGGAAACACUUUCUGCCACUUUUAACUUGAACAAAGUUGGAGAAAUAAAGUGAUGGCAGAUAUUGCAAGUUGUUUAUAGUGUGCCUGUAGAAAUGUAAAAACGCUAUGUUUCGUGAAUGNCCAGCCUGUAAUUCGAAAUAAGAUUUCGUAUUUAUUAAGCAUUGGAAGAUCNCAAUUGUGACUUUGUGGGUUUCGUAAAGAACAUCAUAUAGAUUUCUUUGACCANGUGUAUAAAGCAAAACACNCGGACAUAGUANGGAUAUGGACNCNGCAUGGGUAUGC
rnacentral:sRNA from 1 species